rnacentral:rRNA from 1 species
GAGGAAUAUUGGUCAAUGGGCGAGAGCCUGAACCAGCCAAGUAGCGUGAAGGAUGAAGGUCCUACGGAUUGUAAACUUCUUUUAUACGGGAAUAAAGUAUCCUACGUGUAGGAUUUUGUAUGUACCGUAUGAAUAAGCAUCGGCUAACUCCGUGCCAGCAGCCGCGGUAAUACGGAGGAUGCGAGCGUUAUCCGGAUUUAUUGGGUUUAAAGGGAGCGCAGACGGGAGAUUAAGUCAGUUGUGAAAGUUUGCGGCUCAACCGUAAAAUUGCAGUUGAUACUGGUUUCCUUGAGUGCAGUUGAGGCAGGCGGAAUUCGUGGUGUAGCGGUGAAAUGCUUAGAUAUCACGAAGAACCCCGAUUGCGAAGGCAGCUUGCUAAACUGUAACUGACGUUCAUGCUCGAAAGUGUGGGUAUCAAAC